AGUUUCAAUAAGAAAUAAUGGGAGCAUGAACUUUGCAGAAAAGAUAAAAAUGGAAUGAAGACAGAACUCUGUGAGAGAAAGAACAUAGUAACUAUUCUAAUGAUGUUGGGAUCCUCAGUCUUCCAGAGGAUGGCAAUGGGAUUUGCUAAUACAGGAUGGGAGAGAGAAUGAUGUACUAACAAAGCGCAAUCCUGGUGAGCUACUGAACUUAAAGCUGC
rnacentral:lncRNA from 10 species